GGACAAGGCAAGCUUGCUUCGUGGGCUUGAAGCUAUUCUAAGCCUAGAAAGAAAGCAGUCACUUUUCUGUGGAACAAAUAGCCUCAAAGGCAUUUCUGCACUCAGAAAACUGCAGAUGAGUCACAUCUGAAAAAAAGGAGCGCCUCAUUUCAGGCUAGGAAAUGCCCCUGCAGGGAAAAAGGAGGAAGCGAGAUACAAUAACUGUGAUUUCUGAGAAACUUUGCAAGGAAAUGAAACAAUAACAGAGCAGAACAUCAGCAGUUCCAGGAGGAAAGACGCUAAAAAAAUAACUCAACCUCAAGACACGGGAUGGAGAUAAAGCUGUUUUAUGGCAUCUGAAAGCAUGUGGAAAAAUUGUUGCAUAGCUGGAACUGAUUUGGCACUGGGGAAACUAUUUGUUGAACUGCUAGUAAAACUUCAGAAGAGGAAAUACUUAUCAGAAGACAUCCAAACAAGUGCUGAGCUUUUCUUUAUAUGAAAAUCAUGGUCAGAUAGGGCACUUGUAAUCACUAGGAGCUCCGGAAAAAUUGAGCACAUAUUCUCACUGCUAAUGACAAAAACAACGGUGGGAAACACAGCAUGCAUGCAGGACCCAAGAGGACCCAGGAUCGGAAGCAGAGCAGCCUGCUGAGUACAUACUUCUUGAGCACAGUGAUUGGCACUGCUUGGGCAGAGUUGCCAAAAUGGUGAGCAAUUGCUUGUGCUUAACCCAAGGGGAGAUUUCAUGGCUUGUUAAAUUCCAUCCAGAGUUGUGUCUGCAUAGGCUGGCACAUACUUAGUCAGCUUCUGUGAUGCAGCGCUUCAAACAGAUGUAUGCCUAAGCUCAAUUCUUAAAAUAAUAUAUAUUUUGCUGUGGUAAAUGGCAUCUGAUUUGCCCUCACGUAGAAGAAUUUGCAAAAUGUGAAUGAAUGUUUUGUGUCCUGUGGUCACAGCAGCAUUGUCCUAAAUACAUGUACAAAUAGUCUUGGUCUAUACAAAUAGUCUAGUUUAUACAGAAAAUAAUCAGUCACUAAAAAAUGGCAGACAAUAAAAUCGAACAUUGC
rnacentral:lncRNA from 7 species